GUUGCGGUGGCCAAGCGGUUAAGGCGUUGGACUAGAAAUCCAAUGGGAUCUUCCCGUGACGGUUCGAAUCCUGCAGCAACG
rfam:Nematostella vectensis strain CH2 x CH6 NEMVEscaffold_486_Cont28485, whole genome shotgun sequence.